rnacentral:rRNA from 1 species
CGCCUGGGGAGUGCGGCCGCAAGGUUAAAACUCAAAUGAAUUGACGGGGGCCCGCACAAGCGGUGGAGCAUGUGGUUUAAUUCGACGCAACGCGAAGGACCUUACCUGGCCUUGACAUGCAGAGAACUUUCCAGAGAUGGAUUGGUGCCUUCGGGAACUCUGACACAGGUGCUGCAUGGCCGUCGUCAGCUCGUGUCGUGAGAUGUUGGGUUAAGUCCCGUAACGAGCGCAACCCCUAUCCCUAGUUGCUAGCAGUUCGGCUGAGAACUCUAGGGAGACUGCCGGUGACAAACCGGAGGAAGGUGGGGAUGACGUCGGGUCAUCAUGGCCCUUACGGCCAGGGCUACACACGUGCUACAAUGGCGCGCACAGAGGGCUGCAAACCCGCGAGGGGGAGCCAAUCUCACAAAACGCGUCGUAGUCCGGAUCGCAGUCUGCAACUCGACUGCGUGAAGUCGGAAUCGCUAGUAAUCGUGAAUCAGAAUGUCACGGUGAAUACGUUCCCGGGCCUUGUACACACCGCCCGUCACACCAUGGGAGUGGAUUGCACCAGAAGUGGUUAGUCUAACCUUCGGGAGGACGAUCACCACGGUGUGGUUCAUGACUGGGGUGAAGUCGUAACAAGGUAACCGUA